ACUGAAGGAGUGUAGGGGGAUGCCCCCAAUGAGAGAGGGACAAACUAGCCUUUGUCCCCCAAAAAAGGAAGAAAGCCCAGAAGUUUCUCCCAACGAUCAGGUGAAAAGCCACCUUAUAGGACCCCAGAGACUUCACUAAAACCUUAGGGUCACCUAAUUGGAUGAGAGCCAAAAGAUCCCGCCUGGGCCAUCAGGUAGAAAAAGAGAAGACAAAAAAACUGCGAGGCUUUUGUGAAGGUGUUUUACCAGGAGCAGACCUCUGUACCUGGAUCGGAUUUUCUGUUUAUUGUUUUUCCUUUUAUUAAACAGUUUGGUUUCCAACACUGCAGCAGAAGCCAUCCUGCUCAUUAUUUGCCUCCAAAGGUAAUAGCUGAGCUAUCCUUUGUGUGUAUUAAGUUUUCUUUUAAAGGCUCAUAAAACCCUGGCCCGACGAAACAAAACUUAAUACGUGGCACCUGGACAGAAUUUCUCAUAUUGAGGAAGAUGGUCUAGGAAUUUUUGAUUACCUCAAUCAAAAUAGGACAAUUUUCCUUGGUAUUUGCGUUUUUGGGGAAGCAGGCCUGCACCUGAGUUUUUUGUCGCGUUAAAAAAGAAAACUCAGAAGAAGAGAUUUGAGGUUUAGAGGGAAUCCCAAAUCGAAGCCUCAUACCGGUGAAGAAGAGGCUAUAAUUCAGACGGGACGGGAGCAAACGGCACACACCCUCAGAGGAUACUGUGAAUCGGCUAAGCUGAAACUGUUGCACCCAGGACCCGGGAAAAAGUCUAUACCAAGAAGGACGACCAGAAGACUCGGUGAGUUUCACCAUGGGGAAUCGGUUGUCAGUAGCUGAGCAGGAAUUUUUUUCGUAUUUUAAUUAUAAGUUGGAAAUCCAAGAUAUUCAGUUUGACAAAAAACAGCUUAAAAAGCUUGUAAAAUGGGUCUUAAAAGAAUUCCCAAACUCAGACAUGUCUCAGAAACUCGAUCCAGACUUCUGGGAUUCAGUUGGACUGAAAUUAUAUAACACAGAAAAGAACAAGAAGUCCAACUUAAAGCUGCGUCCAAUAUUAAGGACGGUAUUGAAAUUUGUAAUAAUGGAAAAUGAAAAGCAAGCAAAGACCAGAGAGAGAGCAGAAUGCAGGCAGGACAGAGAAGACAGGAGAAAGCGAAGUUCUGAGGGGACCCAAAAACCUUCCUUUAUCCCAGCCGAGAAACCCCGGUGGAGAGGCCGGGAGGCAGCCAGGCCAGCUGCCCCCCCGCCUGCCCCACCGACCCCAUCCCGAAACAGGGGGGAGCAGACCAGCCCUGGCCAGGCUUGUCUGCAAAACCCGUCUUCCAAAAACCCUACCAGAGCAAAGUCCUCUCUAUCUCCUCUCAAAACCUUGCUUUGGCGUUCAAAAUCGGUGAAUUUUGACAGUAAAACUGGAAAAAGCCGAGCCGAUAGAAUCCAGUCUGAGAACAAUAGAGCACGUGGCAAUCGCCAUUAUAGCCCCGAGCCCAGCUCUGCCCUUCGUGGGCGUGGCUCCUCGGACUCCCAGGAGUCCCUGGGUGGCUGCUCCCUGAGCUCCUGUCCAUCGGAGCAGGGACGCGCCCCUUUUUUAGGCGGUGCCCGGUCGGUGUCCCUGCCCCUGCUCCCCGCCCACAGCCCAGGACGGCACACCCCCUCUCUGCCGAGCGUGGGAACCGGAAGUGAUGCGCCGGAACUGACCCUGUCCAAAAUGGCGGCGCCCAUGUCCGAUAACUUGCCGGAACAAAAAACAAACUAUUCCUAUGCUCCACAAUGUAAUUUCAAACAAUCUAAGGAAGAGUUUAACACACAGAGAGUCACAGAUACCUGGCAGAGGAUAAGGAAGGAUGCAGUUCAGGAAGGAGAGUGGGAAAUUGCAUCGAAAUUGAAGGUUUUUCCUGUGAAAUACACUGCAGGUCCGGGACCCAGGGCUACAUGGCAACAAAUUAACUUUGCUGAGUUAAAAGAGAUUUGCAAAGCCUCUCGUCUGUAUGGUAGAGAUUCUGCCUAUUUCAGAAGCCUAUUACAGGCCACCUUCACAGCAAACAUAUUCACUCCACAUGAUCUAAAACAGCUUUGCACAUCCCUGCUAUCUCCAACAGAAUUUUCUUUGUGGGAACUAGCAUGGAAACGUUUGUUAAACGACCUUUUAAGAGGUUAUGCAGGAACUCCAGCUACUGCAAAUUUGACUAUAGAUCAGCUCUCAGGUGAAGGAGCUCAUACAGAUCCUCAAACACAAGCCCGAACUCUUAGUAGACAAGUAUUGCAGGAUGUCAAAGAAGCAGCAAAAACAGCUUUGUUACAAGUCCCUGAUGGCAACAAGCCAGAACUAGAUUUCACAGAAAUAAAACAGGGCAUAGAUGAGCCUUAUAUUAAGUUUUUGGACCGUUUAAAAAUGGCAUUAGAAAAGCAGAUUCCAAUAGAUCGAGCCAGACAAGAGUUAUUAAAACGGCUUGCAAUUUCUAAUGCAAACCCAACCUGUAAAAAGGCAUUACGUACAUUACCACAGGAUCCUGAGCCCACCCUGACACAGCUAGUAGAUGCUUGCAACCGCCUGAGCACCCCUGAGCAUGCAGCAGCCAUGCAGGCAGAAGUAUUGGCCAGUGCCAUCACAACAGCUCAAGAAAACACCCUAAAGCAGCAGGAAAAAGCAGUAGAAAAGCAAACACAAACCCUAGCAGAAGCUUUAAUAGCAUUCAAAGGUGCAAUUGAGAACCAACAAAUUCCAAGGGACUCGUGCUAUUCGUGUGGUCAGAGAGGUCAUUUUAAAAGGGGAUGUCCUAGGACCCGCAGAAGGCCAUUGCCAAGAAACAGUGGAUGCAGAGGUUUCUGUCACAAUACUAACAGCUUUUACCCAGCACAGGGUUUUUCGUGCCAUCUGCCGGGAAACGUGCAGCCCAGCACGGAGCAGUGGCGUGCCAUGAUACAAAAACCACUGCACCAGAGGCCAGAGACCACCACAGGCCACCAAGUUCAGAACUGCAACACAUCCUUGCAGGACUUCCGACCACAAUGUCCCCAGAGUCACAGAACAACACAGCUGUCAUCGCUUGGACCAGGCACAUCAGCCGCGGGCGGCCUCAGCUCACCUGUGUCCUGAAGCACCUCGGGCAAGCCAUCACCCUCACUGGCCUGAUAGAUACCGGAGCAGACGUCACUCUGAUAUCGAGAUCGAAAUGGCCACAGGACUGGACCAUCGUGCCUACGCUGGAUCAGCUAGCAGGUAUUGGUGGUCACUGUGAGAGCUUUCGAAGCUCGCACGCAGUCACAUUUGAGGGGCCUGAAGGUCGUGUUGCCACCACAAGACCAUUCAUUGUAGGAGCUGAUAUAGUUCUUUGGGGACGGGACAUUUUAUCACAAUGGCAUCUCAGGUUAGAAACUGGAUUUUAACAAAAGCUGUUGAUGGACAUAACACUUUAAAACUUACAUGAACAUCUAACACACCCAUUUGGGUCAGCCAGUGGCCCUUACCUGAAGAGAAACUUGCUGCUUUAGAGCAGUUAGUGCAGGAACAAUUAACCAAAGGUCAUUUAACUCCAACUACUAGUCCCUGGAACACUCCAGUUUUUGUAAUCAAAAAGCCAAACAGUGGGAAAUGGAGGUUGUUACAGGAUCUCAGAAAAAUUAACGAAGUAAUUCAAGAAAUGGGUUCUUUACAACCAGGUUUACCCUCUCCUGUUAUGAUUCCAAAAGAUUGGAAGCUAACUGUUAUUGAUUUAAAAGACUGUUUUUUCAAUAUUCCCUUGCACCCAGACGAUGCACCAAGAUUUGCAUUUUCCAUCCCAUCCAUAAAUCAGCAAGCACCUUUGAAAAGAUAUCAUUGGCUCGUUCUUCCACAAGGAAUGCGCAACUCGCCGAGUAUAUGUCAGUGGUAUGUUGCAAAAAUACUUUCCUCAGUUCGUGCACAAUAUCCAAAUUCUCUCAUAUUACAUUACAUGGAUGAUAUCUUAGUAGCAGCAAAGGACCAAGCAUCAAUGCAGGAGACAACAGAUCAGGUCAUCUCAGCAGUAGAGAAAGCAGGACUCACUGUAGCAAAAGAAAAAAUACAGACACUUCCUCCCUGGAAAUAUUUAGGAUACAGGAUCACAGAACAAACGGUAACUCCGCAGCCACUCCAGCUAAGGACAAAUCCAAAGACCUUGAAUGAAGUGCAGCAGCUUGUAGGCACUCUGAACUGGCUUCGUCCACUACUAGGCCUUUCAAAUCAGGACUUGGCUCCUCUGGGAGAUUUGUUAAGAGGAGACACAGCCUUAAACUCACCGCGAGAAUUCAACAAAGAAGCUCAAAAUGCUUUAGAGAAAGUGAUGAGAGCCAUCCAGUCACGUCAGGCUCAUCGGUAUAAUCCUAACCUGUCUUUUUUGUUUGCAGUUUUAGGGGAGAGUCCACAACUUCAUGGUUUGAUAUUCCAGUGGGAUCUAGAGAAGAAGGACCAUCUGAUAAUCUUAGAGUGGGUUUUCCUAUCGCGUCAAUUGGGUAAAACUAUAACAACUUGCCCUGAAAUUAUUUCACAAUUGAUUAUCAAGGCUAGAUCUCGAAUGCUUUCCCUUGCAGGAAGAGAUUUUGCAGAAAUCUUUCUGCCUGUCACAACCAUCUACUUAGAAUGGUUAAUUCAAAAUUCAGAAGUUAUGCAAUUUGCUUUGGAAAAUUUUGCAGGAAAAAUUUCAGUCAAUUGUCCCAAACAUGAGCUAUUAAGUUCAUCUUUAAAAUUAAUUCAUAAGCCUUUAAGAAGUAAUGUACCCCUUGAGGCAAUCACAUUUUUUACAGACGGUUCUGGGAAGUCUAAAAAAUCUGUGAUUGCUUGGCAGAAUUCAGAGACAAAAAAAUGGGAAUCAGAUAUUGAGGAAGUAGAUGGUUCUGCACAGAUUACAGAGUUGGCAGCAGUUGUACGGGUCUUUUCAAAAUUCACAUUUCCUUUUAAUUUAGUAACAGAUUCAAUUUACGUUGCAGGUGUGGUGGAAAGAGCAGAAGGAUCUCUGCUAAAAGAAGUUGCUAAUGAUCAGUUAUAUAGUUUGCUCAAACAGUUAAUCUUACUUCUUUCCAUUCGACAAGAACCUUACUUUGUAAUGCACAUUCGCUCACAUUCUUCUCUUCCAGGUUUCUUAGCAGAGGGAAAUGCCAUGGCUGAUUUGUUAGCCAUGCCAAUCCAGCACACACUUCCUAAUGUUAUUGAACAAGCAAGAAUGAGCCAUGCUUUCUAUCACCAAAAUGCACCUGCUUUAGUAAGAAUGUUUAACAUCUCUCAGAAUCAGGCAAAAGCAAUUGUUCAGUCAUGUCCAGAUUGCCAGAAAUUAGCUAUACCAGCAAUAGCAACAGGAGUUAACCCUCGAGGCUUAAAUAGCCUGCAGAUAUGGCAAACAGACAUCACUCAAUAUCAGUCAUUUGCAAGGUUCAAACAUAUACAUGUAUCAAUAGAUACCUUCUCAGGAGCAAUUUUUGCUUCUGCACAUCAAGGAGAAAAAAGUAGAGAUGUGAUUAAACAUUUCUUACAAGCAUUUGCAUCCCUAGGUAUUCCUCAAGAAGUCAAAACUGACAACGGACCAGCCUACAUUUCUAAUAAAUUGCAAGAGUUUUUCAAAACUUGGGGUAUCAAACAUACCACAGGUAUUCCACAUUCUUCCACAGGCCAGUCUAUUGUAGAAAGAGCACACAGGUCAUUGAAAAUGAUACUAGAAAGACAAAAAGGGGGGACAGAAGUGCUUUCUACAAUAGAGAGGCUGAAUAAAGCUGUAUAUGUUUUUAACUUCUUAAACAAUUCCUUUAUGGAGCAGGUACCACCAAUUUUCAGGCAUUUCAGCAAUACCAGUCAGGCAAAGCUCAAGGAAAGACCACCAGUCUUCAUCAAGGAUCCAGAGACAGGACAGAUUUCAGGACCCCAUCCUCUUGUAACAUGGGGCCGGGGGUUUGCAUGCAUUUCUACAAACACAGGUCUUCGAUGGAUCCCUGCAAAGAAUGUCAAGCCACAAGUGCAGCCGAUCCGAGAGCAGCAGACGGCACCAGAAGAAGAAUGCACAAACAACUGAGCCACGGAUAGAAGCAAAGACUGUUUUCUAAGUUUGCAUUAGUUAAAAUUGUUUACAAGAAAGUUUUGCAUUGAAAAAGUUUUGUAGUUAUUGUUGUGAUAAAAAAGUUGUUAAACCUACCUCUAUGUAAAAGUCACACAUAUAGCCAGAAAUUUGAAGCCUACCUGGAAAAACACUUCACCAAAGUUAAGAUAGAGAAUUGGCAGCAAAAAUUAUUGGCAUUCUAAUCUAUACUCCUUUCUCCUCUUUCUUUCUAAAUGUAUAGUAAAGGGUGAGAUGAAGGAGUGUAGGGGGAUGCCCCCAAUGAGAGAGGGACAAACUAGCCUUUGUCCCCCAAAAAAGGAAGAAAGCCCAGAAGUUUCUCCCAACGAUCAGGUGAAAAGCCACCUUAUAGGACCCCAGAGACUUCACUAAAACCUUAGGGUCACCUAAUUGGAUGAGAGCCAAAAGAUCCCGCCUGGGCCAUCAGGUAGAAAAAGAGAAGACAAAAAAACUGCGAGGCUUUUGUGAAGGUGUUUUACCAGGAGCAGACCUCUGUACCUGGAUCGGAUUUUCUGUUUAUUGUUUUUCCUUUUAUUAAACAGUUUGGUUUCCAACACUGCA